rnacentral:rRNA from 1 species
GACGAACGCUGGCGGCGCGCUUAACACAUGCAAGUCGAACGGAAAGGCCUGCUUUCCCUUGUGGGUUGCGGGUACUCGAGUGGCGAACGGGUGAGUAACACGUGAGUGAUCUGCCCCCAACUUGGGUAUAAGCCUGGGAAACUGGGUCUAAUUCCCGAUAGGACUGCAGGGUGGUGCCUGUGGUGGAAAACGAUUUUCUAGUGGUUGGGGAUGAGCUCGCGGCCUAUCAGCUUGUUGGUGGGGUAAUGGCCUACCAAGGCGGCGACGGGUAGCCGGCCGGGGAGGGUGGACGGCCACAUUGGGACUGGGAUACGGCCCAGACUCCUACGGGAGGCAGCAGUGGGGAAUAUUGCACAAUGGGCGGAAGCCUGAUGCAGCGACGCCGCGUGGGGGAUGACGGCCUUCGGGUUGUAAACUCCUUUCGACCGCGAGGAAGCCACCUGGUUGGAAGGGUGGUGACGGUAGUGGUAGAAGAAGCACCGGCUAACUACGUG